GUGAGGAAUAUUGGUCAAUAGGCGGGAGCCUGAACCAGCCAAGUCGCGUGAAGGAAGAAGGAUCUAUGGUUCGUAAACUUCUUUUGCAGGGGAAUAAAGUGCAGGACGUGUCCUGUUUUGUAUGUACCCUGAGAAUAAGGAUCGGCUAACUCCGUGCCAGCAGCCGCGGUAAUACGGAGGAUCCGCGCGUUAUCCGGAUUUAUUGGGUUGAAAGGGUGCGUAGGUGGUUUGAUAAGUCAGCGGUGAAAGUUUGCAGCUUAACUGUAAAAAUGCCGUUGAAACUGUCGGACUUGAGUGUAAAUGAGGUAGGCGGAAUGCGUGGUGUAGCGGUGAAAUGCAUAGAUAUCACGCAGAACUCCGAUUGCGAAGGCAGCUUACUAAGCUACAACUGACACUGAAGCACGAAAGCGUGGGGAUCAAACAGGAUUAGAAACCCUGGUAGUCC
rnacentral:rRNA from 1 species